rnacentral:lncRNA from 13 species
CUACCUGGCUCCGCAAAUUCUAACUCACUCUAGAUUUGUCUUCAUUCUGAGGAACUUGGAUCUAGAAGAUCUGAGAUUGACUUUUGCCAGCUUUCCCAUCUCUCGAAAGGACAGUUUCUUAAUUGGGUCACUGUUAUCUUUUUUGUAUGACGAACUCACAGAACCUGAGAAUCUAUAUUUGGCAAACUAUCAUCAGCUAUCAGGUUUGUCAAUUGGUGUUGCCAAAGGAGAUUGACAUUUGAGUUCACGUACUUGAGAGGAAGACCUACCCUCAAUAUCGUUGGGCAUCAUCCAAUUGGCUACCAACACAGCUGGAACAAAGGAAAUGGAAGAAGAAACAUUAAUGAAGAAACAACAAGAUGUAUUUUCAACAGCAUAUGCUCCUACUUUUCGGUCAGUAGGUAAUCCAAGGAUAAUCAGUGAUCUAAGACCAUCAAAGCCAGAUAACGUAAUGACUUUGAUAGUCCUGUCAGUGAACCAUCCAAGGCGACUAUUCUGA